rnacentral:misc_RNA from 1 species
AUGGCUGCAGUUGAUGACAAGAAACGCCAUGGAGGCUCAAAAGUGUCGGCAAUUGCAAAUAUAUUCCAGUCAAAACCACAACUAGAAAACCUUAGUCACAGAACAAAUGUUGUUUUAUCGGAUCCCAUGAAAGAUCCUCCAGCACCGUUGAAAGAUUCUCCUACGCAAGUAACCGUUGUACGAACAGAGAGUCACGUUGCUCGAUUUAAUAAUGCAAGGGCUUUAUUUGAGAAACUUGGAGAGGAAAACAAGCCACAUCGUCCAGUGGAUCGAGUAAUGAAACCAACAAAUUUACACGGACUUCGCUCACGUUCAAGUUCGGCUAAUUCUGGUUCCGGUUGUACAUCUCCUGCUCGGUCGCCCAGACCUAGGUCACCAUCGCCAACAGGUACAAGAGAUCAUUUAAGUAAUUGGAGUGCAAGUGUACCUGCUUUGAAUGCAGAGCGUCAUUUUGAGAAUGGGCAUAGUCAUGGCCCUGAAGCAGUCGUAGAUAGAUUAAGACCUAGACCAGGUUUUGGAAGACCUGAUAAAUUUGAGAAGAAUUAUGGAAAAGAAAAUCGAAUGGAUGAGAGACCGGAGAAGCCAGAAAAACCAGAGAGGAGAUUGAAUUCUAAAGAGUUAAUUGAGAAGCAAAAAAACUGGACCAGCCAUUUCUCUAAAACGAGGCCAAGCAGAUAUAAUUCUGAUCCGAAUAGAUCAAUAGUUCAAACUACUUUAAAUCAAAGUUUAAACAGGUCUACUGGCGAAAAUGCCACCUCAGUAUACUCUCCUGGCUUGCCAGCUCAUGAUAAAGAUUCGAGGGGAACAACAGAUGUCACUAAUAAUCUUGCGACAAGAUCGGCUAGUUUUUGUUCUACGAGACCAUCACCAAAUAUGUCUCCACCUCCGCCACCCCCUCCGGCCAGAAUUUCGUCUACAAAUAGCAUUUGUUCAGGAAUCUCCAGAAAAGAACGACCUGCUAGUGUAGCUGCCAUUAGUCCUACUACUCCUGAAUUUCUUUCUAGUCCUAAAAGUCCAGAGUAUGCAACGGUAAAUAAAAAUUUUGAUGUGUUUUCAAACACUCCUGACUAUGCAGUUGUACAGAAGGGUCCAAUUGUACAAGCUUCAAAGGUCUCAAGCCUUGCAAGUAUGCAAAAAGAUCAAGAAACCUCCUUACCUGAAUAUGCUGUAGUGCAGAAGAAUGUAUCGGGCAGAGUUGUCCAAAAAAAUUCGAUGCCCUUAAAAGUUGAAAACGUUAAAGUAUCAAAAAUUCUUGGACAUUUGGAUAAUAAACAUAACACUUUUAAAAGUGGUACAGUUUCCGAAAGUUUUGAGAACCAGUCCAGCGUCAAAUCUAAUUUAGGUCCAGGGAAAAUGCAACAAAAUACAAAUUAUGUUUUAACUGACAGCUCAGGUUUUGAUCAAUUGCCUACUCCGGAUUAUUCUAAUUAUCCAAACUGUCCAUUAAGAUCUCCUCCUAAGACAUCAGAAUGGAAAAAUCAAUGGCUUGCCAAAAAUGAAGAAAUUUUAAAAAAUGCUGAUCUGAAUUCACAACCAUCGAAAGAAACUUUGAAUGAAAGUGUGAAGUAUGCAGAAAAUCAUCGGUCAGAUUCAAGACCAAACUGGGCAAAACCAAGCGUUGAUACAGUGAAACAAAAGGAAGAAAUCAAUAGAUCUAAAACGGUAGACAUAUCAAAGUCACCUGAUAUCGAGCUUCGACCACCUUCAGCUUGCACAGACAGUACUUCAUCGGGCAUGAGUUCGCCCAGUUCUCCUUCAAAAGACAGUAAAGAAGAAAAAGCUGAUAAGGAGGUGCUAGAAAAGAAUCAAAAAGGACGUAACAGCUAUGACCUAGAAAUAGAGGAUUCGCAUAAACCAACUAUAUACACGGAGAAAACAGUAGAUCAUGAAUUCAGCCCAGAGAAACCAUUUAGUGAAACGGAUACAGCGACAGUUAUUCGAAGGUCUCAUCUUCGAGUGGACUUGCCUGCCGCUGGUUUGGGACAACGCCCACCUUCGGUUGUUAGUUCAGAUCAAGAAUACCCUCCAUUGGAACACAAAGAUAUACCAAUUCCGUCACCAUAUGCAAAAAGAUUACAGCAUGCACAAAUCUCUGAGUCUACGACACAAAGUAAACAAGGUCAUCAAUCGAAAGCGCAGAAUAUCGAACAAGGAAAAGGAGGAGCGCCACAACAAGACACGCUUUAUAAAUUUCAAGAAACAGCAGCUAAUCAGAGUUCUUCGCUGCAAUCUGCUAUAUUAAAGUCGCCAAAUUUAAUCGAUAGCCUAUCUCAAAUUCCGAAACCGGAAAUACCAUUAUAUGCUACAAAUGAUCAAUUAAACUUUUCCAAGCAGGAAGCACUGACUGACAACAAGGAAAUAUCUGACGCAACUAAUAGUGUCACAGAUCCAAAGUCUAUGCAGCAUAAAACGGUUAAUUUGGAAAAAUCCGUGACAAGUACAAAUCAAUCUCUGAAGGCUUCUACCAAUCAAGAUAAGAAUUAUUCAAAUGGCACAAAAUCAAUGACAGACUUCAUUAAUUCCGCUACUAAGGAUAGUUUUAACGAAAACGAAACAAUUUCUAUCACUCCUACAGCUAAUACUACUACUACCACCACUACUACUACUACCAAUACCUCUAAGAUCAGAUCCGAUAUACAUGCUGCGAAAAAUUCUAAUUUGGAAGGCGCAAAUAAGACUUCGAAUACGUCAAAAGUCGAUGGACUUGGGCAAUCACAAACAACAUGGGAGCAAGAGAAAUUAAAGGCUGAUCAAAUUGCUGCUACAAAGUUGCAACAUAUGACUUCAAAUAAAUUUUUAUUAAAAUCCCAAGUUGUUGAAUCAACUGACAACUACCAGGAGGAACAUGUCUCAAGUUCGCAUGAAAGUAAAUCAGCCAGUGAUGAUAAAGUAUCUGAAAGUAGUUUGCAAGAGGACAGCGACUCCAGUGAUGCUAAAACCAUAACAAAUAUGGAAAGUCUUUCACCCCAUGCGAAGCAGAAUAUGAACGGCCAAGAUGCAACAUCAAUCAGACCCCGAGCUAGUCAAACAACUCCAGUAACUCCAGACACAAUGACUGCAGACGAAGCUGAAAAUCUCCUGAGCUCUCGCAUAUUGGAAAAGAAAAUUAGACAAGGAUCGGCUUUGCUAUCGGACGAGGAAGCUCAAGAAAUAGCCAGACUGUUGUCACCUACAACAACUACUGCAACACCUGGUGAUAAAGAUAGGGAGGUAGACAGAGACAAUGAAAGAGAUAGAGAGGAACAAGACAACACCCCAGACUGGCUUUCCGAUGUUCUUUCUGCUCCUGAUUCCAGCCUAGUUAACAGUACCACUCACGAUUACAGUUUGUCUAAUAGGUCACGAAGUGAUCUGACGAUAGACUCCUUGACCGAAAGCCAAAUAGGCUCAGUGACAGGAAGUGAGAGCGAAUUGCUGGGAUCUGUCAGCAGCUUGAAUGACACGCAAGAAACUAAUGAUGAUACAGAAACUGAACACCAAGACGAUUAUACACCUGUGCCUGGAAAAAUUAUUUUAGUCGAAAAUGGAGUACAUUAUUACGAAGAUGGUCACUUUUGGAUGGAAGUUGCUGGUCUUCCUGAUUCAGACGAAGAUGACGAAGAUUUACUUCCGACAGUUAUACCUGCGAAGAAAACCAAUAUGAAAGUUUCCUUUGAUACAGGGCCAAUGCGGGUUUACUCGACACACUCGGUCAAUGAGUACGAUCGACGCAACGAAGAUGUUGACCCUGUUGCUGCAAGUGCAGAGUAUGAGCUUGAGAAACGUGUUGAAAAAAUGGAGGUUUUCCCAGUUGAGCUAAUGAAAGGGCCAGAGGGACUUGGCUUGAGUAUAAUUGGAAUGGGUGUUGGUGCCGAUGCAGGCCUUGAAAAACUUGGUAUUUUUGUGAAGACGAUUACCGAAAAGGGUGCUGCUGCUCGGGAAGGUCGUAUUCAGGUUAAUGAUCAGAUUGUUGAGGUGGAUGGCAAAUCUCUGAUUGGUGUGACCCAAGCUUAUGCUGCAAGUGUUCUGCGCAAUACCUCAGGUCUAGUACGUUUUCUAAUUGGCAGAGAACGGGACCCUCGUAAUUCUGAAGUGGCCAUGCUCAUUCGGCAGAGCUUGCAGGCUGACCGAGAGCGUGAAGAAGCCAAUGGAUCUGCAACAAGAAGACUAAAUUUUUCGGACGGAACUUCGCCGGAUAGCCAACGAGUUGGUAUGGGUGAAGAAAACUCCUCGAUGAGUGGUUUGGGUGGAGGCAUACCUGGCUCUCCUACCAUGUCAUCUUGCUCGGAGGGCGAACCUCCAGCCAGCCCGAUUGAUGCAUAUUCGUCACCGGCUAGUCGAAGUCGGUCACCCAUCAUUAGUUCAUCUUUACCAUUGCCUUCUACUAUUCCAACAACGACGACACAGAGUGAUGUAGACAGUCUGCGAAUUCUCCUACAGGAGAGUCAGUAUAAGCUUGCCUUAGCCGACGGAGAGGUGGAAAACCUCAAAACAAAGUUGGUAGAGCUGGAGAAUACUGGAGCAGGGAGCGAAGAAUAUGCUGCAAAAUUACGUGAAUCUGGGUUGCGAUUACACGAAUCGGAGCGUGCUCUGAGUAUAGCACGUCAAGAUUUAGCAUCUGUCCGUGAAAUGCUCUCUCAAGCAACAGCUCAAAAUGCAACUAUUCAACAAAAAUAUGCACGGGCAAGACGGGCUGCCCGAGAACUCAGAGCUGAUGUUAUUGCACGAGAUGAGUUUUAUCAACAGCUUUUACAUGAGAAAGAUGCAGAGUAUAACUCAUUAGUGAAAUGCCUGAAAGACAGGGUAAUAGCAUUAGAAAUGGAAUUGACUGAAACUCAAAGGAGAUUCGGACUUCCAGUACGAUUGCCAUACGAUGGUGCAACAGCACGCAUUGUAACACCCCAGCCAACAAGACGCCAAAUGCCACCUCCACCUUCUGCUGCAAGUUGUCAAUUAUCAGAUACAGAGGUUUCUGAUCUUAGCAGUCCUGAUGAUGGAGACAAAACAGCUACUGUGGAACGCAAACUACCCUUGCCAUUACCGGUCAAAGAAGAACUCGAUCGAGCUGUGCCAGCUCAUCGUCUUCUUGAUAAUUCAGCAGGUAAAAGUAAAGCUGAACUUGCUAGUCGAGGUGGACUCGCAAAUCGUCAACUUCCCAAACGACCUGGUGGUCUCAGCAAUAGCAGCUCAGACUAUGGCUUAGAUGAGUCUGGUGAUAAUACAGAUGAAGACUUAUCUUCAAAGAAUACUAGUGCUCAUGACGGAAUAACUCGUUCUGCUAAUGAUUUGUCACGACCUUCAAACUUGAGUUCCUAUUCGAGCAGCUCAUCGAUCAGUUCACAAAAAAGUAAGCAACACUUGGAGUCAACUACAUCUGUGCGCCAACAUAGUACAAUUAGCUCGCAAGUUAGAGCUAUGACUGAACAAAGCUGGCCCCCUCCACAGAAAGGUCUUUCAGGCCCUCCUGCAUCAUUAGCAGAGCAAUUAAAACAAGUCUUAGCUGAAAGAGAGCGCAGGCUAGGUGGAAAUGAUAUGUCAUCUUCAAGAGAAAGUUCUGGGGAUUUCACGGACUUAAAUAAUCCUCAGUCCAGUGAUCCGACACUUGUGACACAUCAUUUGGUGGAGGAAAUUCGACAGGCUGUGAAUGAAGCAAGUCAAAGAGUUAAAAAAGUAGCAGUUCCUCCGCAGAACUUGAUUGGUAGUGGGAACGCACCCUGGCACCAUCCAGGUGGAUCUCCAUCAAGUCUUUCGUCAGGAGGUUCUAUUAGUCCACCUGGAGCUGAUCCGAGUCCAUCAAAAACUGGUAGCGCAGAUUCAAGUGAAGUUUGGCUUCCUCCUCAUCCCAGUGAUUUUGGCUUGGGAGAUAAAAAAACAUCCCACUUUUGGCAAAAUGCUCCUAUCACUGAUUGGUCUAAAGAACAAGUGUGCCAAUGGUUGUCAGCAAUGGGUCUCGAACGUUAUGCCCCACGUUUUGUUGAUGCUGGAAUAGCAGGAGGGGGUCUCUUAAGACUCGAAUCACGCGAUUUGAAAGCUCUUGGUGUCGCAGGAGAGGAAAAAGCACGACUGAAACGAAAAUUGAAAGAAUUGCGAGCGCAAGCCGAACGUGAGCGUAAGGAGCGCAAGGAGUUAGAACGGAUGCGACGCAAAGCUGAAAAGGCAGCUAAGAAGAAGUAAUUGUAGUAGACAGUCCUGAUAGAGAUUCCUACUUUUAUACAACUCAAAAGGCAAUAAGGAGUACGAAUUUUUAAAAUAAAUUCUGAAUAAAAACUCAGGCAGUCAAACCGGUGGGCGAUGAAAAAAAAAUAGAUGUGUCGUCUGAAGGCAAUUAUCAAAGAAGAUUGCUUAUGCUGUUCAGUAUUAAAAGUAUUAAUAUUGUGAUCAUUACGCAUCAAACUAAGUACUCAAAUCCUAUUAAAAAUUGAUGACACGUAGCACGGCAAAGGUAAAGAAAGUAAUUAUAGAAUGUUACUAUGUAACUGAUAUAAUUUAAAGGCAUAGAAAGUCAAAUAAAUUUGGAGCUUGAUCCAUCAAACACAAAUCUAAAAGUUAAUGAGUUUUAACCUUCCGGUACGAAAUUUAGCCAUUGGACAACAUUGUUUAGCUAUGAUUGGAUCAUUAAUUAUAUGUAGUCUGAAUAUAUAAUACUUCAGAUCCAACAACUCAUCAUUGAUUCAAUAUUUCUGUACAUCGACACUGCAAUAGUCAGACAUGUUUACUGAUUUGUAUACUUUGAUGUUUAAAAAAAGACGUACAAGUUAGCCCAUCUAUCAAUUUGAGUUAAGACUCGUGUGUUUAUUUUUAAGCAGCGGCAUACUUUCAUUACUUUGGAUCAUACACGGUGCUGGUUGAUUCUUCCUUCCAACUAAUUUAGGUGGUAGACUCAUAACGCAUAAAUUCUCAUUUUUAUGAGGCACAAAAAAUGCUGUAGCUGCAAAAACCUACAUCAUAAUGGUAGAAAAAGAAUAAUAGGUACUACUACAAUGGAUGAAUUCACGAUUAAUGUAAAAAAUCGCAUCAAAGCAGGAGUACUUUUAUAAUUGCUUACUUGCAUGUAAUAAAGUUACAUUACUUUUUUCAGCUUCGACAAACAGUAGGAUAAUCCAUUUUUUGGUUGAAACUCUUCAAAAGUGUAAACUGCCAAAUUUUUACAGCUUUUUCUAUAUAAUUAGCAUGUUGCACUUUAUGAAAAAAUGGUUAUUUUCGUAUUUUUGUAUUAGUUUACUUUUAUUAUUAGUGGUUAUUGUUAUUCAAUAACCAGAAUUGAACCUGACUACGUGAAUUGUUAUCGCGUUGGUAUGUAUGGUAUGAAGGCAUGUUUCAUUGUGUGUACGUACGUAUGGUUUGUAUGUAUGCAUUAGUAGUUCAAAAGUGUAAUAAAGUAAAUGUUUCUUACAUUUUUUCGUGACUGUACUUAUGUCUUGGAGUCGAGACAGUAAGUAGCACGUUAUCGAAAUAAAUAUUUGUUUUUAAAUAUUUAUUUUAAUAUUUUCACGCAUUACCUUAUAUCACUAUUCUAUAGCGUAUCUACCGUUAUAGCUCGAUAUGUUUGAAUUAAUAGUUGUCGUUUCACAUUAUAUACACUAUCAACGAAGUUUUUUAAUACCGACACAUUUAAUCACAUAAUUAUAGUCUAAAAUAUGGGCAUGACCUAUACAUUUUCUUCAUGGAGUUUUGCUCAAAAUGUAUUUCAUAUCAACGACUGGUCAUAUUUUCAACAAUCCAAUUAUCAAGCUUAUAUAAGAAACCCUUUUCAAUGUGCAGUGUGUCAUAUAGUCAUAUAUUUUGAAAAACAAUAUUUCUUCACUACCUUAGGUAACGGGUUGUACCUGUACCAUUUUGUACAGUAUUUCGAUCAGCAAGACUUGCCACUUUUGAUAAUUGUAUUUUCUUAUGUUGAUUAUUUCAUCAGAUUUUUCGUACAUCAUCAAAAUUCUUUGCUUCUGUAAUCAUAAAGUUAUAACUAGAGCAAAACUGAUAUAUUAUGUUUUGUACUUAAUUAUAUGUUGUAUAAAAAAAUUUCUUGAAUGGGUUAAUAGACUGUAAAUAUUUGGUUUUAAGAUUAGUUAUAGAAUUGCUGAUUUUAUUAUUUUAAAACAUAUCAGACAUUAGACAGACACAUAUUCGAAACUUGUUCUGUGUCAUGAAAUUCUUACUAUGAAAUGAGAUUACACAAUCUGUACAAUUUUACCUGUUGUGACUCUCAUUUUGUUUUAUGCAAUUUACAUACGAAGAAAUGUAUACGGAUGUGCGUGUACUUAUUUAUAAUAAUUCUAAGAUUUAUGUUCAGCAUUACAAAGUGUUUUGACUUUGAGUUUGAUUGGUCGAUGCUGCGUACUGGACAACGUUUUUAAACUUAAGUGUAAGGUAUUAAGAAUAACACAGACGGAAUAAAACGGCAUUAUAUUAAUUGGGAAACACUUUGUAUAUACAUUAUAUAAUAAUAUCUCUAAUUAUAAGUAUUGACGUUAACGAUAAAUCUUAUGAUUUAUCGAGGUAAAAGUAAAACAUCAUAAUUGUAGUGUCAUAAUACUUCAUAACAUAACAUAAGUUAAUUAAUGCAGGUGUUAACUAAACUUACCAAUUUCGUAUCAAUGCGUUUAAAGUUUGAACCAAGAUAAUCAGAAAGAUUUGUACUAUUGCUUUUAUUGAACAUUUGUUCAAAUUACUGAAGAGAUGAAUUAAGCAAGAUCGAAAAGUGCCAAAAAUUUUGUGCUAUAAGCGUUUCGUAUUUAUUUACUGAGAAUCAUAGGUUUUUUCUUCUGAAAACUAUUGUAUUCCACAUCUCGCUACAAAUGAGAGACAUUUCUUUAUCAUUUGGAUUCUUGUUAAUUCAACUCUUUGGCUGAAGAUUCUAGAUAUCAGUAAUGUAAUAAUGGGUUCACUACCACCACGUAGCUAAAACUGACUGAUUUAAAAAUAAGUUUUAUAGCUCACUUUUUAAUAGAAAUUAUGUGUGUAACUUUGUAGGUAAUACCGAAAAUAUCACGUGAAAAAUAUUAGCAGUAGUAUGACAGGCGAAACCAUUUACAAAAAUUGCAUGAUUUCUGAAUAUUUUGGUCAGUUUUAUGAGAUUUAAAUUAUCGUCAGUAGAAUAACGGUAGCAAUCUCAGAAUUGAAAGGCUGCUUAAAAUGAUCAGAUAACUGGUAAUUGCAAGUGUUUUAUUAUAAAGAAAAAAAAAAAAAUGAAAUAUUGUCAAAUACUCUAGAAGAUUUUAAAUAAAAACAGACAAUUCGUACACUAUAA